rnacentral:rRNA from 1 species
AAGGUAGCGAAAUUCCUUGUCGGGUAAGUUCCGACCCGCACGAAUGGCGUAACGAUGGCCACACUGUCUCCUCCCGAGACUCAGCGAAGUUGAAAUGGUUGUGAAGAUGCAAUCUCCCCGCUGCUAGACGGAAAGACCCCGUGAACCUUUACUGUAGCUUUGCAUUGGACUUUGAAGUCACUUGUGUAGGAUAGGUGGGAGGCUUUGAAGCAGAGACGCCAGUCUCUGUGGAGCCGUCCUUGAAAUACCACCCUGGUGACUUUGAGGUUCUAACCCAGACCCGUUAUCCGGGUCGGGGACCGUGCAUGGUAGGCAGUUUGACUGGGGCGGUCUCCUCCCAAAGAGUAACGGAGGAGUUCGAAGGUUACCUAGGUCCGGUCGGAAAUCGGACUGAUAGUGCAAUGGCAAAAGGUAGCUUAACUGCGAGACCGACAAGUCGAGCAGGUGCGAAAGCAGGACAUAGUGAUCCGGUGGUUCUGAAUGGAAGGGCCAUCGCUCAACGGAUAAAAGGUACUCCGGGGAUAACAGGCUGAUUCCGCCCAAGAGUCCAUAUCGACGGCGGAGUUUGGCACCUCGAUGUCGGCUCAUCACAUCCUGGGGCUGUAGUCGGUCCCAAGGGUAUGGCUGUUCGCCAUUUAAAGUGGUACGUGAGCUGGGUUUAAAACGUCGUGAGACAGUUUGGUCCCUAUCUGCAGUGGGCGUUGGAAGUUUGAAGGGGGCUGCUCCUAGUACGAGAGGACCGGAGUGGACGAACCUCUGGUGUACCGGUUGUUUCGCCAGAAGCAUAGCCGGGUAGCUAAGUUCGGAAGAGAUAAGCGCUGAAAGCAUCUAAGCGCGAAACUCGCCCAAAGAUGAGACUUCCCUUGUGGUUUAACCAUACUAAAGAGUCGUUCGAGACCAGGACGUUGAUAGGUGGGGUGUGGAAGCGCGGUAACGCGUGAAGCUAACCCAUACUAAUUGCUCGUGAGGCUUGACUCU